UACGUAGGGUGCAAGCGUUAAUCGGAAUUACUGGGCGUAAAGCGUGCGCAGGCGGUUAUGUAAGACAGGUGUGAAAUCCCCGGGCUUAACCUGGGAACUGCAUUUGUGACUGCAUAGCUAGAGUACGGUAGAGGGGGUAUGGAAUUCCGCGUGUAGCAGUGAAAUGCGUAGAUAUGCGGAGGAACACCGAUGGCGAAGGCAAUCCCCUGGACCUGUACUGACGCUCAUGCACGAAAGCGUGGGGAGCAAACAGG
rnacentral:rRNA from 1 species